AGUUUGAUCCUGGCUCAGGAUGAACGCUAGCGGCAGGCUUAAUACAUGCAAGUCGAGGGGUAACAUGGUAGCGAUACUGAUGACGACCGGCAAACGGGUGCGCAACACGUACACAACCUUCCUUUAGGCGGGGGAUAGCCCGGAAAAAUCCGGAUUAAUACCUCAUAGUAAUAUUUGGUGGCAUCAUCAUAUAUUUAAAGAUUUAUCACUUAGAGAUGGCUGUGCGUCUGAUUAGGUAGUUGGUUGGGGUAAUGGCCCACCAAUCCUUCAAUCAGUAGCUGGCGUGAGAGCACGACCAGUCACACGGGCACUGAGACACGGGCCCCACUCCUACGGGAGGCAGCAAUAAGGAAUAUUGGUCAAUGGAGGCAACUCUGAACCACCCCUGCCGCGUGAAGGAUGAACGUCCUCUGGAUUGUAAUCUUCUUUUAUGUGGAAAAAAAUGCUUUCUUUAUAGAGUGUUUGACGGUACCAUAAGAAUAAGCACCGGCUAACCCCGUGCCAGCAGCCGCGGUAAUACGGAGGGUGCGAGCGUUAUCCGGAUUCACUGGGUUUGAGGGGUGCGUAGGUGGGGAAAUAAGUCAGUGGUGAAAUCUCCGUGCUUAACAUGGAAACUGCCAUUGAUACUACUUAUCAUGAAUCUCCGGAGGUUAGCAGAAUAUGUCAUGUAGCGGUGAAUGCUUAGAU
rnacentral:rRNA from 1 species